UACGGGGGGGGGCAAGCGUUGUUCGGAAUUACUGGGCGUAAAGGGCUCGUAGGCGGCCAACUAAGUCAUGCGUGAAAUCCCUCGGCUUAACCGGGGAACUGCGUCUGAUACUGGAUGGCUUGAGUUCGGGAGAGGGAUGCGGAAUUCCAGGUGUAGCGGUGAAAUGCGUAGAUAUCUGGAGGAACACCGGUGGCGAAGGCGGCAUCCUGGACCGAUACUGACGCUGAUGAGCGAAAGCCAGGGGAGCAAAGCGGGG
rnacentral:rRNA from 1 species